GAUGAACGCUGGCGGUGUGCCUAAUACAUGCAAGUCGAGCGAACAGACGAGGAGCUUGCUCCUCUGAUGUUAGCGGCGGACGGGUGAGUAACACGUGGAUAACCUACCUAUAAGACUGGGAUAACUUCGGGAAACCGGAGCUAAUACCGGAUAACAUGUUGAACCGCAUGGUUCAACAGUGAAAGACGGUCUUGCUGUCACUUAUGGAUGGAUCCGCGCCGCAUUAGCUAGUUGGUAAGGUAACGGCUUACCAAGGCAACGAUGCGUAGCCGACCUGAGAGGGUGAUCGGCCACACUGGAACUGAGACACGGUCCAGACUCCUACGGGAGGCAGCAGUAGGGAAUCUUCCGCAAUGGGCGAAAGCCUGACGGAGCAACGCCGCGUGAGUGAAGAAGGUCUUCGGAUCGUAAAACUCUGUUAUUAGGGAAGAACAAAUGUGUAAGUAACUAUGCACGUCUUGACGGUACCUAAUCAGAAAGCCACGGCUAACUACGUG
rnacentral:rRNA from 1 species